rnacentral:rRNA from 1 species
CACGUAGGCACCAAGCGUUGUCCGGAUUUAUUGGGCGUAAAGAGCUCGUAGGCGGUUCAGUAAGUCGGGUGUGAAAACUUUGGGCUUAACCGGGGAACUGCGUCUGAUACUGGAUGGCUUGAGUUUGGGAGAGGGAUGCGGAAUUCCAGGUGUAGCGGUGAAAUGCGUAGAUAUCUGGAGGAACACCGGUGGCGAAGGCGGCAUCCUGGACCAACACUGACGCUGAGGAGCGAAAGCCAGGGGAGCAAACGGG